AUCGCUUCUCGGCCUUUUGGCUAAGAUCAAGUGUAGUAUCUGUUCUUAUCAGUUUAAUAUCUGAUACGUACCACAUUGUGGUACCUUUGGGACAGGGAGAUGGAAUAGGGGCUUGCUCUGUCCACUCCGCGCAUCAACCCGGUAUUGCAGUUUCUCCGGGAAUGGUGCACCUCCC
rnacentral:snRNA from 1 species